UCUUCUUUUAAAUAUAUUAUUCAUUUUUUUAAAAAAGUUUAAAAUUUUCUACAUUUUAACUAUUUCCAUUAAUGGGAUUAUUAGUUUGUCACGACCCAUUCCAUGGACCGGACCGGCACUAGGACCUGGGUGGGCUUAAGGCCCCCGAAGCCCGUAGUAAGUCUAUAUUAUGCAAAUCUCAUUUACUAUUCAUAAUUGUGGAUACAGGUCCAAUAAUUUAUUUCAAUUAUGUACCACUAGUACAGUUCAUCUACAACCCACUAGAAUACAAUUAUGGAACUCUACCUGUACAUUUACAUCAUCAUUUAUUUAUCGUUUACAGUCUUCUAUACUUAUGUCUCAACUCCAUAGGAUUUUUCUUUCUUCUAUUACCUGGAAAAAAAAAAAUAGGUAGGCAGGGGUGAGCGCCAAACUCAAUGAGUAGGGUUAGAUAACCCUCUCACCCCACACAAUCAUACAGAUGCUAAAAUAUUUUUAUUUGUUUAUCGAUUAAAUUUAUGAUCAUGCAGUGUCACACAAAUGGCAAUACAACAGCAACCACAAUUAGUAUCACCUUCAUAUAAUCACAUCACGUGGAAAUUAGUCAGUGGCACCACCUAAAACCCCAACGAGCCGUCCUCACACAUGGCUCGCCCUCUCAUACAUGUGCACCAGGGAGCCGACCCCCAUACGGCCAACUGGUCUAAUCCUCACUGACCAGUCCUCUCAUUGUUUUUCCAUUCUCUCUUUUCUUUUCCAUACCAACAGGAGGCAACCCGGCUCACAACAGGAGGCCACCCUGCGGGCUACAAUCAAAUCUAGAUCAUCAGGUACGCAACAACAAUAAGCAAUCCUGUGGUUUUCCAUAUAAUCCAUAUCAUCAGGUGCACACGGGGGCGCCGAUCUCCCAUUUACCCGGCUGACGGUCAAACUCCAUAUCAUAUCAUAUUCAGGAUCCAUAUAACAGACCGUCCUCACAAACCCAUGGUGGUCCACUUCAUCCCAAUUCCACACAAACAAAGCAUAGCAUUUUCACAACACAAUUAAUCAAACAUUGCAAUCAAAUGCAGACAUAUUAAUCAAUUAAACAUCGUAAUGCAAUGCACAAUUAAACAUCCAAAAUCAAUGCAAAUAAAUAAAUAAAUAAAUAGUAUUA
rnacentral:lncRNA from 1 species